GGGAGAAUUCGAGACGGUUAUGCAAACCCGAGACGAAGUCGAGGGUUUGCAUAACCAUCGAGAAUUCUCCCAACCUGCCCGAGUGUUUGCAUCAGGCUAUGUAAACACAGGGAAAAAGUUAUCUAUUGCUUUUAUAAAAUAACUCUUUUUUCUAAAAUAUGGCUUUAAAAACUUUAGAAUUCGAGUAUAAUUUUUAUGAUCAAAACUAGGUUUCUCCUUACCUCAAACAUUUCAAUGGCUUUUUCAACCAGCCAAUUACAGUUCACGUUUUAACGAAAGGCGAAGUUGGCAGUUUUGACAAAAUGUGAAAAAAAUGGCAGACGACGGCGGGCGACUUUCUUUCUUUCUUUUUGCAUCAAAAUUGCCUUUUUAGUGACCUUAGAUGAAUCAUAAACUAUGUGUUCUUUGAGGAGAAAGGGUGCAUGUCUGUCAAAAGGUCAACUGGACGCAAAAAAAUUAGAAAAAGAAUUGGUAUGGAAAUGAUAUCAAGAUGAGAUUUUUGAAAAACUGCAGGAAUAUACUUGCUGAAAGACUUUGUUUUGACACUUUAAAUGAUGUUUGAUUAGCCGCUUCGACGUGCCGGCACUUCAGCAUCACCGACGAAAAAAUUCACAAAG